rnacentral:rRNA from 1 species
UACGUAGGGUGCAAGCGUUGUCCGGAAUUAUUGGGCGUAAAGAGCUCGUAGGCGGUUCGUCGCGUCGGCUGUGAAAACCCGGAGCUCAACUCCGGGCCUGCAGUCGAUACGGGCGGACUUGAGUGUUGCAGGGGAGACUGGAAUUCCUGGUGUAGCGGUGAAAUGCGCAGAUAUCAGGAGGAACACCGGUGGCGAAGGCGGUUCUCUGGGACGGUACUGACGCUGAGACGCGAAAGCGUGGGGAGCGAACAGG